CGGCCUUCGGGUUGUAAACCUCUUUCACCUGUGACGAAGCGAAAGUGACGGUAGCAGGAGAAGAAGCACCGGCCAACUACGUGCCAGCAGCCGCGGUAAUACGUAGGGUGCAAGCGUUGUCCGGAAUUACUGGGCGUAAAGAGCUCGUAGGCGGUUUGUCGCGUCGUCUGUGAAAACUCACAGCUCAACUGUGAGCUUGCAGGCGAUACGGGCAGACUUGAGUAUUGCAGGGGAGACUGGAAUUCCUGGUGUAGCGGUGAAAUGCGCAGAUAUCAGGAGGAACACCGGUGGCGAAGGCGGGUCUCUGGGCAAAUACUGACGCUGAGGAGCGAAAGCAUGGGUAGCAAACAGGAUUAGAUACCCUGGUAGUCCAUGCCGUAAACGGUGGGCGCUAGGUGUGGGUUUCCUUCCACGGGAUCCGUGCCGUAGCUAACGCAUUAAGCGCCCCGCCUGGGGAGUACGGCCGCAAGGCUAAAACUCAAAGGAAUUGACGGAAUCGAAUU
rnacentral:rRNA from 1 species